UACGUAGGAGGCGAGCGUUGUCCGGAAUCACUGGGUGUAAAGCGCGUGUAGGCGGCCUGCCAAGUCUGCUGUGAAAGCGCCUGGCUUAACCGGGCGAGGUCGGUGGAAACUGGCGGGCUGGAGGACGGUAGAGGGGGGUGGAAUUCCCGGUGUAGUGGUGAAAUGCGUAGAGAUCGGGAGGAACACCAGUGGCGAAGGCGGCCCCCUGGGCCGCUCCUGACGCUGAGACGCGAAGGCGCGGGGAGCGAACGGG
rnacentral:rRNA from 1 species